GACGAACGCUGGCGGCGUGCCUAAUACAUGCAAGUAGAACGCUGAAGGAGGAGCUUGCUUCUCUGGAUGAGUUGCGAACGGGUGAGUAACGCGUAGGUAACCUACCUGGUAGCGGGGGAUAACUAUUGGAAACGAUAGCUAAUACCGCAUAAGAGUAGAUGUCGCAUGACAUUUGCUUAAAAGGUGCAAUUGCAUCACUACCAGAUGGACCUGCGUUGUAUUAGCUAGUUGGUGAGGUAACGGCUCACCAAGGCAACGAUACAUAGCCGACCUGAGAGGGGGAUCGGCCACACUGGGACUGAGACACGGCCCAGACUCCUACGGGAGGCAGCAGUAGGGAAUCUUCGGCAAUGGACGGAAGUCUGACCGAGCAACGCCGCGUGAGUGAAGAAGGUUUUCGGAUCGUAAAGCUCGGUUGUAAGAGAAGAACGAGUGUGAGAGUGGAAAGUUCACACUGUGACGGUAUCUUACCAGAAAGGGACGGCUAACUACGUG
rnacentral:rRNA from 1 species